GACGAACGCUGGCGGCGUGCUUAACACAUGCAAGUCGAACGGAAAGGCCCUGCUUUGGUGGGGUGCUCGAGUGGCGAACGGGUGAGUAACACGUGAGUAACCUGCCCUUGACGUUGGGAUAACUUCAGGAAACUGGGGCUAAUACCGGAUAGGAGCUCCUGCGGCAUGGUGGGGGUUGGAAAGUUUCGGCGGUUGGGGAUGGACUCGCGGCUUAUCAGCUUGUUGGUGGGGUAGUGGCUUACCAAGGCUUUGACGGGUAGCCGGCCUGAGAGGGUGACCGGCCACACUGGGCCUGAGAUACGGCCCAGACUCCUACGGGAGGCAGCAGUGGGGAAUAUUGCCCAAUGGGCGGAAGCCUGAUGCAGCAACGCCGCGUGCGGGAUGACGGCCUUCGGGUCGUAAACCGCUUUCGCCUGUGACGAAGCGUGAGUGACGGUAAUGGGUAAAGAAGCACCGGCUAACUACGUG
rnacentral:rRNA from 1 species